rnacentral:rRNA from 1 species
UACGAAGGGUGCUAGCGUUGUUCGGAAUUACUGGGCGUAAAUGGCGCGUAGGCGGCGCAUCAAGUCAGGCGUGAAAGCCCCGGGCUCAACCUGGGAACCGCGCUUGAGACUGGCGUGCUAGAGUUCGGGAGAGGAUGGUGGAAUUCCCAGUGUAGAGGUGAAAUUCGUAGAUAUUGGGAAGAACACCGAUGGCGAAGGCAGCCAUCUGGACCGACACUGACGCUGAGGCGCGAAAGCGUGGGGAGCAAACAGG